CUUGUUCUUCUUUCCAACACCAUGGAUGAUGACAUGAUCAAAAGUAUUUUUCCGAGUGGUCUCCAUAUUUUGCUUGUAGAUGAUGAUUCUACAUUCCUGGGCUUGCUUGAAUGGAUGCUUUUAUCAUGUUAUUAUAAAGGUAGGCAUGGAGAUUAUACAUGAGUCUCUUCUUUUUAGAUUGACACAUGCAUUUACAAAUUCUUUUUCCAUAAGAGGUUUGUAAGACUCAUCUGAAGUUAACAAAGAAACCAAUUCUUUAGAAAGAAACUAUGGUUUUGCACUAUUUGGUGUUC
rnacentral:lncRNA from 1 species